UCCCCUGCACCUCCAAGUAUUUCUACAUUUACACAAGCAGUCAAAUACAGCUAGAAGUUAGGAAUUGGUUCAUCUCCAAAACGUAACCUUAAGCAAUCAUUUCAAUUCUAAUCAAUUCAGAAUCUGAAAGUAAUAAUGUGAACUUCUAUGUUGUUUCCUAAGGAGAAGGUAUAGUUAACUUAAAAACAGUGUACAAACUACUUUCUGUAUAAAAAUCUUGAAAAUACAUUUCAGUGGAUUAACCAAUAGAUAGAAAAAAGAGGAGGAGAAGGGUGGGGUGGUAGUACAUUAGAAGUAAACUAAAAUAGUACAAAAAUGGGUAAUGAUGCAUCAUGCAAAUUUUCUUAGCAACAUUAGUCGAAACUCCUAAGGGAUCAAGUUUUAGCAUGCACGAAUUACAUAUUGCCAUUUAGGAUAAUACAUUUCAGUUCUCUACCACUAAGAAAGUUCCUUUUGGUUAUAUUUUACUGUAAUUGAGCAUCGAACACUUGCAAUAUGCCAGAGAAUAACCUGAGAAUCUUCAAAAAAUAAAAAUAACUUAUCAAGCCUCUUGUUAAAUCCAACCUUCCAACUUUGUCAAUGACUUUA
rnacentral:misc_RNA from 1 species